rnacentral:rRNA from 1 species
AGCGAACGCUGGCGGCAGGCCUAACACAUGCAAGUCGAACGGAUCCUUCGGGAUUAGUGGCGGACGGGUGAGUAACUCGUGGGAACGUGCCCUUUGGUUCGGAACAACUCAGGGAAACUUGAGCUAAUACCGGAUGUGCCCUUCGGGGGAAAGAUUUAUCGCCAUUGGAGCGGCCCGCGUCUGAUUAGCUAGUUGGUGAGGUAACGGCCCACCAAGGCGACGAUCAGUAGCUGGUCUGAGAGGAUGAUCAGCCACACUGGGACUGAGACACGGCCCAGACUCCUACGGGAGGCAGCAGUGGGGAAUCUUGCGCAAUGGGCGAAAGCCUGACGCAGCCAUGCCGCGUGAAUGAUGAAGGUCUUAGGAUUGUAAAAUUCUUUCAGCGGGGACCAUAAUGACGGUACCCGCAGAAGAAGCUCCGGCUAACCUCGUG